GAUCACGGCGACGUGGGCGGUUCACUGCUGGCGACGUCGCGAGAAGUUCACUGAACCUUAUCAUUUAGAGGAAGGAGAAGUCGUAACAAGGUUUCCGUAGGUGAACCUGCGGAAGGAUCAUAUUCGAU
rnacentral:rRNA from 1 species